CAUGGAGUCCGAUUUUCGACACAUAGAUUUAAUACAUUUUCAGGUGCAAUUGUCUGUAUUUUACUAUUGUCUAUUUUGAUUCAGUUCAGUCAGUUCUCGAAUUUAGUAUCGUUCUUAGGUUUUUUUUUUUUUUUAAACAUUAAAAUUAUAUUAUUAAGAUGAGAUACAUGGUGGAAUGCGGUUGUAAGAUACAAAGCCAGCAAGCAACGAGUACUUCUGGAAACUAGGCCAGCAAGCAACUGAGUGCUUCUGGAAAGUAAGCCCUAUCAAAGGGAAACAAGAUAGAAACAUAAGACAAGUAAAACUAAACAUAGGGGAAUGAAACGACGUAACAAAUAUAAACGAGACAGAUGCAGUCCAAAUGAUGAAGUUCAAACCCAAUCGCAUAAAUCAACCUUACUCCUCCAGGCCUCUGACAAGAGUUACCAAAACUGUGUUGAUAACUUAACCCACCUAUAGUGAAUAAGCGUAGAAAAAUCAAGCACGGCUUCCAAACCGGAAGGAAAGAACCGAUAACGGUUCGAGAUCCAACUUCCGAACGGCGAAGUCGACAGAGAGCGACGGUGGAGCGCCUAAUGAGAAGCGAGUCAAAGAAGCGAGAUCACGACCAGAUCUCAUGGGAAAUGACAAGGAGCGGUUACGAUCUUGACCGAACAAACCAAUCUCAUGCGAACAAGAGUAGGAAGGAUCGAAUCCGGCAAGAUCCAAAGAAGCCACGGAGAACAAGGCCAUGCAGAUCAAGAUUAGAAACAAUCACCAUAAAGACAUCACUGUUAAAUCUGAGAUCAAACGGUGAGCAUGCAAGGGAAAACUGAGUUGAACCACAGAUCUAGAACUAGAUUGAGACGACAAGAGAGGCAAAAGGACAAGCCACUCCAAUGAUCCAUAAGAUCCAGAACCUCUAGCCGCUUAACCAGACUAAAUCACAGCCAAAAGAAUUUUGACAGCAUCAAUAAAGCAUCACCGAAUGAUUUUGCGUCGAAACAAAAUCCCCUUACAUCACAAACAAACUAAACGAAAAGGACAUAAGAAAAAGAUACCGGCUCUGGUGCUAAGAGAGCCACCGGAACCGAUGAACAAAGUCUACGAUCUGAGAUCAGAAGAUUCUAGAGAGAAGGGAGAGAAAAUAA
rnacentral:lncRNA from 1 species